AGUCUGUACUGGCAGCGAAUCAUACAUAGCUUAGUUUAUCAGACAAGCUGCUUUUCUUGAGCAAAGAAAGAACUAGGAGAGAAACGGGGCUUUGGAACCCUGAUGCGGCAAUGCUGAAAGAGGAGAAAUAUCCCAAGGAAGGGAAAGGUGUGUUGCAGAACGAUGAAAAAUAGGCGGCUUCUCACAGCUGUUCUCAGGGGACGAGACGGGGUGGGAUGCAGCUCCGCCGGUGCCUAACACUAAGGGCCCUCAUCCUGCCGAUUCAGUUGUGUCGGGACCGCCAGUGCUGUCUCCUCGUCAGAUGCUGCUUCUGGUCUCCCCGCAGAAGAUGCCACUGGAGUUGCCUUUUCAAGGAUGGGGACAUUUGAAGGCCCUGGACGCUCAGCUCUGAGGCUGGCUGGGAUCUCACUAGCACCCCCUGGUGGAGGCCGGAGCCAGGCUGACGCGGGAAAGUGGGGCACGGAAGCGCUGCGGAUUGGACCGGCGGCAGCUAGGCCGAAACGCCUGUAUUUAAAGGGAUAGUAACUCGGACUCGUUCUGCAAUAUCCCCACAAGGGCCUGACUGAGCGAGCGAGCAUGGACGGCCGCGGGGCUUUCUGGACAGUGGCCAUUCCCAGAGCCAGGCAGGAAGGCCUCGGGAGGCUGGGGCUCCCGUUCCCGGUGAAGCGGACGCCGCCAGCGCCCCAGAACCCAGGAGGAAGCACACAGGCCCCACAGAGAGUGGUUGGCAAGAGUCACUCGGGGAUUAGGAUGCCGGCCAAAUCGCGGAAUUUGAGGCUGGAAUCCAAGCUCAACAGGAAAGUAGUGAAAUACAAAUGGGGAAAACAGGGCUCUGGAGCGGGGAGGGAGCUGGUGCCGGCAUUUCCCACCAACGCCGGUUUAGGAAGACGGGACCGAUGCCGGCCGCCCCCUGCUGGAGGGGAUGUGGCAUCUCACGGGCUGCCAGGGAGCGGGGUUGGCUACUCCUGCAACCAGCGUGAAGAGGGUCUCAGGGGAGGCUGUGGUGGGAUCCCCCACGUGCCCUUGUUCCUCUCACCGUUACCUCUGGAUGCCUCGGGGCAAAGGCCUUCUUCCACCUAUAGACAGAGUCUACGCAGGGGUCUUGGAACCCGGGCACACCAGUCCCCAGCUAACGAAAUCCCCGAGUUGGGGGAUUUGAGAGGGUCACGUUUGGCCCAAGAACCCGCAGUCCUCUUUGGUCUUCGGCCCUCUAUUUCUAAGCGUGGGCUUCUGGCACGGCGGCUCUGGGCACAGCCCAUGCUGCUUUCGGGCUGGGUGGUUUCAACGACGACAACAAUUAUCACAGUGACGGUGACCUUCACCCCAACAGGACUGCUGUGUGUGAAGCACUCAAGAGGGCCCCUACAACCAACCUGCCAGGAGUCGGCUCCUGAAAACAGGGUCGGAAAAGGUCAGUGCCCAUCAGAAUCGAGCUGUCGGCAAAAAGCUGGAGAGGUUAGGAGCUUUGUCUAUCUCAAGGGUAACAAACUGCUUUGACCCUGAGGGCUCUGAAGACGACUUUCCCUCACCGCAGCUCUCAAGACAACAGGGAUCAGACUCAGAAAGACACUGCCUGUAUAAGGCUCUUGUUUGUCUUGUUUUUAAUUCCUGCCCUCUGCCUCCAGAUCUCAGUCCUCUAUCUGUGAAACGGAAUUCGGCCUUGCCUGUCCACGAAAUGAAGACAAGGCAUCUCGUGUGUGUUAAGAUGAAACAAGAUCUUAGCAAGAGAGUAAUGAUUUCUUUUUUAAAACAUUUUUUACUGUAGUAAAAUGUACUAUAACGUAAAAUUACCAUUUCAAUCAUUUGUAAGUUCAGUGGCAUUAAGUACAUUCACAUUGUCGGGCAGCUGUCAGAGGUGUUCGAACCAGAGCGACUCCAUCUUGAACAGGUGCUGCGCAAAAUGAGGCUGAGACCUGCUGGGCUGCAUUCCCAGGAGGUUAGGC
rnacentral:lncRNA from 1 species